AAAAUCACUAAUGCCACUCUGAACAAGCCUGAUCCUAUCUGAUCUCGGAAACUAAGUAGGGUCAGGCUUGGUUAGUACUUGGAUGGGAGACCACCUAGGAAGACCCGGUGCUGUAGGCA
rnacentral:rRNA from 1 species